GAGAGACGUACACACACAGACACACACACACACGCAUCCCACAGCCAGGGAAGAGGCAGAGAGCAGGCAAGGCAGAGAGGGAGCGAGGGUAGAGAGAGAGAGAUCCCCAAAGCAGCCCUGCGCCUCUGAGCUGGAAUCUGCCAGGGUGCAGCCAACAUGUUGGUCCUCAGCUCACUUGUCUGGGGAUCUUACCUGCAGCUUUUCUUCUGCUUUGCUUUAUCUCAGACUGCGUACGUUGACAAUAUCUUCUCAGUUUCAGCAGGCAGCAACCAGUCCAAAAGGGAACCUCAGCUGAAAGCGAUGCUGCAGCUGGCA
rnacentral:lncRNA from 1 species